rnacentral:rRNA from 1 species
UCAUCUCCGGGGGUAGAGCACUGUUUCGGCUAGGGGGCCAUCCCGGCUUACCAACCCGAUGCAAACUGCGAAUACCGGAGAAUGUUAUCACGGGAGACACACGGCGGGUGCUAACGUCCGUCGUGAAGAGGGAAACAACCCAGACCGCCAGCUAAGGUCCCAAAGUCAUGGUUAAGUGGGAAACGAUGUGGGAAGGCCCAGACAGCCAGGAUGUUGGCUUAGAAGCAGCCAUCAUUUAAAGAAAGCGUAAUAGCUCACUGGUCGAGUCGGCCUGCGCGGAAGAUGUAACGGGGCUAAACCAUGCACCGAAGCUGCGGCAGCGACGCUGAUGCGUUGUUGGGUAGGGGAGCGUUCUGUAAGCCUGCGAAGGUGGCCUGUGAGGGUUGCUGGAGGUAUCAGAAGUGCGAAUGCUGACAUAAGUAACGAUAAAGCGGGUGAAAAGCCCGCUCGCCGGAAGACCAAGGGUUCCUGUCCAACGUUAAUCGGGGCAGGGUGAGUCGACCCCUAAGGCGAGGCCGAAAGGCGUAGUCGAUGGGAAACGGGUUAAUAUUCCCGUACUUGGUGUUACUGCGAAGGGGGGACGGAGAAGGCUAUGUUGGCCGGGCGACGGUUGUCCCGGUUUAAGCGUGUAGGUGUGUGUUCCAGGUAAAUCCGGUUCACUUUAACACUGAGGCGUGAUGACGAGGCACUACGGUGCUGAAGCAACAAAUGCCCUGCUUCCAGGAAAAGCCUCUAAGCAUCAGGUAACAUCAAAUCGUACCCCAAACCGACACAGGUGGUCAGGUAGAGAAUACCAAGGCGCUUGAGAGAACUCGGGUGAAGGAACUAGGCAAAAUGGUGCCGUAACUUCGGGAGAAGGCACGCUGACACGUAGGUGAAGUGAUUUACUCAUGGAGCUGAAGUCAGUCGAAGAUACCAGCUGGCUGCAACUGUUUAUUAAAAACACAGCACUGUGCAAACACGAAAGUGGACGUAUACGGUGUGACGCCUGCCCGGUGCCGGAAGGUUAAUUGAUGGGGUCAGCGCAAGCGAAGCUCCUGAUCGAAGCCCCGGUAAACGGCGGCCGUAACUAUAACGGUCCUAAGGUAGCGAAAUUCCUUGUCGGGUAAGUUCCGACCUGCACGAAUGGCGUAAUGAUGGCCAGGCUGUCUCCACCCGAGACUCAGUGAAAUUGAACUCGCUGUGAAGAUGCAGUGUACCCGCGGCAAGACGGAAAGACCCCGUGAACCUUUACUAUAGCUUGACACUGAACAUUGAGCCUUGAUGUGUAGGAUAGGUGGGAGGCUUUGAAGUGUGGACGCCAGUCUGCAUGGAGCCGACCUUGAAAUACCACCCUUUAAUGUUUGAUGUUCUAACGUGGACCCGUGAUCCGGGUUGCGGACAGUGUCUGGUGGGUAGUUUGACUGGGGCGGUCUCCUCCUAAAGAGUAACGGAGGAGCACGAAGGUUGGCUAAUCCUGGUCGGACAUCAGGAGGUUAGUGCAAUGGCAUAAGCCAGCUUGACUGCGAGCGUGACGGCGCGAGCAGGUGCGAAAGCAGGUCAUAGUGAUCCGGUGGUUCUGAAUGGAAGGGCCAUCGCUCAACGGAUAAAAGGUACUCCGGGGAUAACAGGCUGAUACCGCCCAAGAGUUCAUAUCGACGGCGGUGUUUGGCACCUCGAUGUCGGCUCAUCACAUCCUGGGGCUGAAGUAGGUCCCAAGGGUAUGGCUGUUCGCCAUUUAAAGUGGUACGCGAGCUGGGUUUAGAACGUCGUGAGACAGUUCGGUCCCUAUCUGCCGUGGGCGCUGGAGAACUGAGGGGGGCUGCUCCUAGUACGAGAGGACCGGAGUGGACGCAUCACUGGUGUUCGGGUUGUCAUGCCAAUGGCACUGCCCGGUAGCUAAAUGCGGAAGAGAUAAGUGCUGAAAGCAUCUAAGCACGAAACUUGCCCCGAGAUGAGUUCUCCCUGAGACUUUAGGUCUCCUGAAGGAACGUUGAAGACGACGACGUUGAUAGGCCGGGUGUGUAAGCGCAGCGAUGCGUUGAGCUAACCGGUACUAAUGAACCGUGAGGCUUAACCUU